rnacentral:rRNA from 1 species
ACCGAAUUCAGACAAACUCCGAAUGCCAAUUAAUUUAACUUGGGAGUCAGAACAUGGGUGAUAAGGUCCGUGUUCGAAAGGGAAACAGCCCAGACCACCAGCUAAGGUCCCAAAAUAUAUGUUAAGUGGAAAAGGAUGUGGCGUUGCCCAGACAACUAGGAUGUUGGCUUAGAAGCAGCCAUCAUUUAAAGAGUGCGUAAUAGCUCACUAGUCGAGUGACACUGCGCCGAAAAUGUACCGGGGCUAAACAUAUUACCGAAGCUGUGGAUUGUCCUUUGGACAAUGGUAGGAGAGCGUUCUAAGGGCGUUGAAGCAUGAUCGUAAGGACAUGUGGAGCGCUUAGAAGUGAGAAUGCCGGUGUGAGUAGCGAAAGACGGGUGAGAAUCCCGUCCACCGAUUGACUAAGGUUUCCAGAGGAAGGCUCGUCCGCUCUGGGUUAGUCGGGUCCUAAGCUGAGGCCGACAGGCGUAGGCGAUGGAUAACAGGUUGAUAUUCCUGUACCACCUAUAAUCGUUUUAAUCGAUGGGGGGACGCAGUAGGAUAGGCGAAGCGUGCGAUUGGAUUGCACGUCUAAGCAGUAAGGCUGAGUAUUAGGCAAAUCCGGUACUCGUUAAGGCUGAGCUGUGAUGGGGAGAAGACAUUGUGUCUUCGAGUCGUUGAUUUCACACUGCCGAGAAAAGCCUCUAGAUAGAAAAUAGGUGCCCGUACCGCAAACCGACACAGGUAGUCAAGAUGAGAAUUCUAAGGUGAGCGAGCGAACUCUCGUUAAGGAACUCGGCAAAAUGACCCCGUAACUUCGGGAGAAGGGGUGCUCUUUAGGGUUAACGCCCAGAAGAGCCGCAGUGAAUAGGCCCAAGCGACUGUUUAUCAAAAACACAGGUCUCUGCUAAACCGUAAGGUGAUGUAUAGGGGCUGACGCCUGCCCGGUGCUGGAAGGUUAAGAGGAGUGGUUAGCUUCUGCGAAGCUACGAAUCGAAGCCCCAGUAAACGGCGGCCGUAACUAUAACGGUCCUAAGGUAGCGAAAUUCCUUGUCGGGUAAGUUCCGACCCGCACGAAAGGCGUAACGAUUUGGGCACUGUCUCAACGAGAGACUCGGUGAAAUCAUAGUACCUGUGAAGAUGCAGGUUACCCGCGACAGGACGGAAAGACCCCGUGGAGCUUUACUGUAGCCUGAUAUUGAAAUUCGGCACAGCUUGUACAGGAUAGGUAGGAGCCUUUGAAACGUGAGCGCUAGCUUACGUGGAGGCGCUGGUGGG